CAUUCAUGCUAGGGGUGCCUGAAAAAUCAGGCUGAGAUCACACCCUUAACACCUGAGUCUGGCUAAUACCAGCGGAGGGAAGCUGUUUAUCGAGGAA
rfam:Nodularia spumigena CCY9414 genome.